GUGCUUGCUUUGGGAGCACAUACACUAAAAUUGGAAGGAUACAGAGAUUACCACGGCCCCUGAGCAAGGAUGACAUGCAAAUUGGUGGAGCGUUCCAUAUUUUA